rnacentral:rRNA from 1 species
GGACCCGCACAAGUAGUGGAGCAUGUGGUUUAAUUCGAAGAUACGCGCAGAACCUUACCAACACUUGACAUGUUCGUCGCGACUUUAAGAGAUUAAAGUUUUCGGUUCGGCCGGACGAAACACAGGUGCUGCAUGGCUGUCGUCAGCUCGUGUCGUGAGAUGUUGGUUAAGUCCCGCAACGAGCGCAACCCUCACUUUUAGUUGCCAUCAUUUAGUUGGGCACUCUGAAAGAACUGCCAGUGAUAAGCUGGAGGAAGGUGGGGAUGACGUCAAGUCCUCAUGGCCCUUACGUGUUGGGCUACACACGUGCUACAAUGAUAUUUACAACAGGAAGCAAAACGGCGACGUUAAG